AGCAGCCGCGGUAAUUCCAGCUCCAAUAGCGUAUAUUAAAGUUGUUGCAGUUAAAAAGCUCGUAGUUGAAUUUCGGGGUUAGUAGGCUGGUCAUGCCUCUGGUAUGUACUGGUCUCACUGAUUCCUCCUUCCUGAUGAGCUGUAAUGCCAUUAAUUUGGUGUUGUAGGGAAUCUGGACUGUUACUUUGAAAAAAUUAGAGUGUUUAAAGCAGGCUAACGCUUGAAUACAUUAGCAUGGAAUAAUGAAAUAGGACGUUCGAUCCUAUUUUGUUGGUUUCUAGGAUUGACGUAAUGAUUAAUAGGGAUAGUUGGGGGCAUUAGUAUUCAAUUGUCAGAGGUGAAAUUCUUGGAUUUAUUGAAGACUAACUACUGCGAAAGCAUUUGCCAAGGAUGUUUUCAUUAAUCAAGAACGAAAGUUAGGGGAUCGAAGACGAUCAGAUACCGUCGUAGUCUUAACCAUAAACUAUGCCGACUAGGGAUCGGAUGAUGUUAAUUUUUAAUGACUCAUUC
rnacentral:rRNA from 1 species